GAUGAACGCCGGCGGCGUGCCUAAUACAUGCAAGUCGAGCGAACGGACGAGAAGCUUGCUUCUCUGAUGUUAGCGGCGGACGGGUGAGUAACACGUGGAUAACCUACCUAUAAGACUGGGAUAACUUCGGGAAACCGGAGCUAAUACCGGAUAAUAUUUUGAACCGCAUGGUUCAAAAGUGAAAGACGGUCUUGCUGUCACUUAUAGAUGGAUCCGCGCUGCAUUAGCUAGUUGGUAAGGUAACGGCUUACCAAGGCAACGAUGCAUAGCCGACCUGAGAGGGAGGUCGGCCACACUGGAACUGAGACACGGUCCAGACUCCUACAGGGGGCAACAGUAGAGAAUCUUCCGCGAUGGACGAGAGCCUGACAGAGCAACGCCGCGUAAAUGAUGAAGGUCUUCGGAUCGGAAAACUAUGUUAUUAGGGAAGAACAUAUGUGUAAGUAACUGUGAACAUCUUGACGGUACCUAAUCAGAAAGCCACGGCUAACUACGUG
rnacentral:rRNA from 1 species